GACGAACGCUGGCGGCGUGCUUAACACAUGCAAGUCGAACGGAAAGGCCCUGCUUUUGUGGGGUGCUCGAGUGGCGAACGGGUGAGUAACACGUGAGUAACCUGCCCUUGACUUUGGGAUAACUUCAGGAAACUGGGGCUAAUACCGGAUAGGAGCUCCUGCUGCAUGGUGGGGGUUGGAAAGUUUCGGCGGUUGGGGAUGGACUCGCGGCUUAUCAGCUUGUUGGUGGGGUAGUGGCUUACCAAGGCUUUGACGGGUAGCCGGCCUGAGAGGGUGACCGGCCACCUUGGGACUGAGAUACGGCCCAGACUCCUACGGGAGGCAGCAGUGGGGAAUAUUGCACAAUGGGAGGAAGCCUGAUGCAGCAACGCCGCGUGCGGGAUGAAGGCCUUCGGGUUGUAAACCGCUUUCGCCUGUGACGAAGCGUGAGUGACGGUAAUGGGUAAAGAAGCAACGGCUAACUACGUG
rnacentral:rRNA from 1 species